GACGAACGCUGGCGGCGUGCUUAACACAUGCAAGUCGAGCGGUAAGGCCCUUUCGGGGGUACGACGAGCGGCGAACGGGUGAGUAACACGUGGGCGACCUCGCCCUCAGCUCUGGGAUAAGCCUGGGAAACCGGGUCUAAUACCGGAUAUGACUCCAUGACGCAUGUUGUGGGGUGGAAAGCCUUGUGCGGCUGAGGAUGGGCCCGCGGCCUAUCAGCUUGUUGGUGGGGUGAUGGCCUACCAAGGCGACGACGGGUAGCCGGCCUGAGAGGGCGGACCGG
rnacentral:rRNA from 1 species